GGGGACGAGUCAGUCAGUGUACGACCUGACGUUCACGCAAGUGAUCAAAGCGCUUUUUUUUCAAUGUUCCUUUCUGGGCGCGAAGUCAGGGAAAUAUUCGCAAGGAUGGAGAACAUUCAACAGAAUCAGUAUGCAAUCAAGCAUGGAAUGGAUUCCAGAUAGGAAUAUAGGAUUCACCUUACACUCAGAAACUGGGGGAUAGGCCUAGUUGUUCAAAAUACACGGCGUUGCUGGUUAGUAUUUUUACUUUUGGUUUGUAAUAAUUCGUCUUUUUUGGUAGUCUAGUGGAAUUGUCACACCUUAACAAAUUAUCAUCCUGUUUCCAAUAUUUUUAUCUAGUACAUGUUCUCUUUCAUUGUAGCAUGGACUUGAAGAGAUAGUUAUGAAUUUAGAAUAUCAUCAAGUGACUUUUAAUAAGGCACUGUUUUCAGUGGAUGAACCGACAUCAUGCAGUGUGACAGGAAAACGCCCGUGAGACCAAAGAUGGCUUAGAUAAAAGGGAAGACGAUGCAGAAGCCUCUGUACCAGAGAAAAAUCCAGAGAUGGCCCUCAAAGAAGUUAGAAACAAGAUGAGAGACCGUCUCAAGUUGUUUAGGUCUGGAGCCACCUUCCCCCACCCACGAGUCGAAGAAAUAGAUCUUUGAACCACUCCAGGUUACCCGUGACAUCAAGAUAAACAAAAUUCAACUUCAGGGACAAUUUGAUAAUACCUGUUUAAAAUUUUUUUUUUAGCUCACCUGGGCCGAAGGUUCAAGUGAGCUUUUCUGAUCAAAAUUUGUUUGUUGUCUGUCGUCGGUGAAAACUUUUCACAUUUUCAUCUUCUCCAGAACCACUGGGUCAAUUUCAACCAAACUAAGUGACACAAAGCACCCUUGGGUGAAAGGCUUUCAAGUUUGUUCAAAUGAAGGGCCAUGCCCCUUCAAAGGGGAGAUAAUCGCAAAAAUACGGUGGGGUCAUUCAAAAAUCUUCUCAAGAACCACUGGGACAGAGAAGCUGAAAUUUACAUGAAAGCCUCCUGACAUAGUACAGAUUCAAGUUUGUUAAAACCAAUGACCUGGGGGGGGGGGGGGGGGGGGGGGGGGGGGGGGGGUUGGAUUGGGUCUCAAUAGGGGAUCAAAGUUUUACUUACAAAUAUACAGGGAAAAUCUUUAUGAAAAUUGUCUUCUCAAGAAACACUUGGCCAGAAAAGCUGAGAUUUACAUGAAAGCUUCCCAACAUAGUGUAGACUCAAGUUUGUAAAAUUCACAGGGUUGUCACUAACGCAAGAAUAGGAUCACAGAAAUUUCAUUGGGGUUUGUCUGAUAUGGCGAGUCCCGCAGAUGUGUCUCGGACUCUGAGUAAAAAUCAUAAUUUUACUUAGAAGCCCUGAUUUGUGUAUUAAUUAAAACUCAUAGGAAAAAAUCUAGGUAAAACGUUACGCUCUAAUGUGAACUGAGAUGAUACCACCGAGUUCACAGUGUCCCAAUCCGACUUGUUUGUUUAGUGCAGUCAAUUAGGUGCAAAUUAGAAUAUAAUAUUGAAAUUUAGAUACAAAGUAAAAAACAUUUUGCCACUCACAGGCAGUUAUUUAUAUAUGUUUCUUUUUCUUUUUUUUACAAAUCAGGAUCUAUAUUUAAUUAUAAAUGUUUGUCUUCCGGUAGCCAUUUUUAUUGGAAUUGAAAGUAGCGUAGUUUGUAAACUUUGGUAGAUUUUAUAUCAUUUUACAAACAAAAUUAGUACGCAUCUAUUUUAUCACAAUAAUUAUUUAAUUAAAAUUUUGUUUAAUACUGAAUAGGGUUGUAACGAUGAUAGAGGAUUCGGGGAAGUAAUUCUGUUUGCAAUGGGCAAUUAGUUGUAUGAGACCGAGUCGUGAAUGAUUACUUUUAAUUUCAUGUGUACAAAGUGAUCACUGCACUGUUAUGCAUGGGCUUGGCGAAAAUUAACUGAUUUUUGCCAUUUGUUGAAGAUGAAAGUGAACAGAGGUACGACAUUAGCUUGUGUUCACUCGGUAUAAAUAAAGGUGUAGGAAAAAUCUAAAUGACUCUUUAAUUCAACUUUCAUGGGACUCGUCAAAUUUUCAUGGGACUCAAGCUGCUUACAAACCAUGAUACCGGGACUCAUCUUCAAUAUUUUCUAGUGACAACCCUGAAUCGUGGCCCCCAAGGGUAGGUUUUGGCCACAUUAUAGGGACAAAAGUUUUACAUACAAGUAUAUGGGAAAUCUUUAAAUAUGGACCAAGAUGACUAAGGUGAGCGAUGUGGCCCAUGGACCUCUUGUUUAAUUAUUUGUUUACGUAAGAAAUAGUGCUUUUUAGCUCACCCCAGCCAUAAUUUAAAUG